rnacentral:rRNA from 1 species
GACGAACGCUGGCGGCGCGCUUAACACAUGCAAGUCGAACGGAAAGGCCUGCUUUCCCUUGUGGGUUGCGGGUACUCGAGUGGCGAACGGGUGAGUAACACGUGAGUGAUCUGCCCCCAACUUGGGUCUAAGCCUGGGAAACUGGGUCUAAUUCUCGAUAGGACUGCAGGGUGGUGUCGGUGGUGGAAGACGAUGUUCUAGUGGUUGGGGAUGAGCUGGCGGCCUAUCAGCUUGUUGGGGGGGUAAUGGCCUACGAAGGCGGCGAGGGGGAGGCGGCCGGGGAGGGUGGACGGCAACAUUGGGACUGAGACACGGCCCAGACUACGACGGGAAGCAGCAGUGGGGAAUAUAGCACAGGGGGCGGAAGCCUGAUGCAGCGACGCGGCGUGGGGGAUGACGGCCUUCGGGUGGUAAUCUCCUGUCGACCACGAGGAAGCCACCUGGUUGGAAGGGUGGUGACGGUAGUGGUAGAAGAAGCACCGGCUAACUACGUG